GGGGGUGUCACGGAAUUCGACUGCAAGUGGAAAUAAAGAGAGCAAGUCGUGGGUGAUACUCUUGGCCACGUUAAAAGGAGUAUCAAAAACUUUAACUGCAAACAACGCAGACUAUAUCCCUGCUGAAGCAGCUCUCGCUGCUUAAUUAAACAGUAGGCGCGUUCAAUUAUGUUUGCCUGAAACGUAUUUGAACGUGUCAUAUGAGUCAGGCUGGUUCACUUGUUCCUCCUGCAAGUGAAUAAGAUCUUCGGAGGUGUUCUGAGGUGAGGUGGUUCACUCCCGACAUCUUCAGCAAAAACGAAAAGCGUGAACUAAACUUGUAGUGCUCUUUGUGGAAGUUCUGUAGGACGCGGGUUCGACUCCCGCCACCUCCACCA
rnacentral:tmRNA from 1 species